ensembl:snoRNA K02F3.15 ncRNA
CAAUAAUAGUUAUUUUUCAUACAUUUCUCUGGGACGGUACGGGAACAAUUUUUUACAUGUACUUCAGGUAUUUUUGAGAAGCUAACAAUUUUCCAUAUCUAAUUGGAAAUCAAUCAUCAUCAAUUGUGACCUCCUGCAAUCCAGUUUUUGUUCAAUUAGAGAUGCUUCAUGAAUU